UGCAUGAGUGGCGGACGGGUGAGUAACGCGUGGGCAACCUGGCCUGUACAGGGGGAUAACACUUAGAAAUAGGUGCUAAUACCGCAUAACGGGGGAAGCCGCAUGGCUUUUCCCUGAAAACUCCGGUGGUACAGGAUGGGCCCGCGUCUGAUUAGCCAGUUGGCAGGGUAACGGCCUACCAAAGCGACGAUCAGUAGCCGGCCUGAGAGGGUGGACGGCCACAUUGGGGCUGAGACACGGCCCAAACUCCUACGGAAGGCAGCAG
rnacentral:rRNA from 1 species